CCUACGGGAGACAGCAGUGAGGAAUAUUGGUCAAUGGGCGCGAGCCUGAACCAGCCAAGUAGCGUGAAGGAUGACUGCCCUACGGGUUGUAAACUUCUUUUAUAAAGGAAUAAAGUGAGGCACGUGUGCCUUUUUGUAUGUACUUUAUGAAUAAGGAUCGGCUAACUCCGUGCCAGCAGCCGCGGUAAUACGGAGGAUCCGAGGGUUAUCCGGAUUUAUUGGGUUUAAAGGGAGCGUAGAUGGGUUGUUAAGUCAGUUGUGAAAGGUUGGGGCUCAACCGUAAAAUUGCAAGUGAUACUGGCAGUCUUGAGUAGGGGUGAGGUAGGCGGAAUUCGUGGUGUAGCGGUGAAAUGCUUAGAUAUCACGAAGAACUCCGAUUGCGAAGGCAGCUUACUAAACUGACACUGACAUUGAGGCUCGAAAGUGUGGGUAUCAAACAGGAUUAGAUACCCGAGUAGUC
rnacentral:rRNA from 1 species